ensembl:miRNA
GAUGUAGAGGGCUGACUGUGGACAGAGAUGAGUAUGGUUGUCCACAGCAGCACUUCUGCACACU